AUUGAACGCUGGCGGCAUGCUUUACACAUGCAAGUCGAACGGGGUGAGGGGGCAACUCCUCAUUCAGUGGCGAACGGGUGAGUAAUGCAUCGGAACGUGUCCCGUAGUGGGGGAUAACGCCGGGAAACCGGCGCUAAUACCGCAUAUGCUCUACGGAGGAAAGUGGGGGACCGCAAGGCCUCACGCUAUGGGAGCGGCCGAUGUCCGAUUCGCUUGUUGGCGGGGUAAAGGCCCACCAAGGCGACGAUCGGUAGCUGGUCUGAGAGGAUGAUCAGCCAGAGUGGGACGGAGACACGGCCCAGAGUCCUACGGGAGGCAGCAGUGGGGAAUUUUGGACAAUGGGGGCAACCCUGAUCCAGCCAUGCCGCGUGCGGGAAGAAGGCCUUCGGGUUGUAAACCGCUUUUAGCCGGAACGAAAAGGUCUCUCUUAAUACGGGGGACUCAUGACGGUACCGUAAGAAUAAGCACCGGCUAACUACGUGCCAGCCGCCGCAGUAA
rnacentral:rRNA from 1 species